AUUGAACGCUGGCGGCAGGCCUAACACAUGCAAGUCGAGCGAGCGGCGGACGGGUGAGUAAUGUAUGGGGAUCUGCCCGAUAUAGGGGGAUAACUACUGGAAACGGUGGCUAAUACCGCUUACUAUCGUUUCAACCCAUAGUGGAUUAGCUAGUAGGGGGGUUAAAGGCUCACCUAGGCGACGAUCUCUAGCUGGUCUGCGAGGAUGAUCGGCCACACGGGGACUGAGACACGGCCCAGACUCCUACGGGAGGCAGCAGUGGGGAAUCUUGCACAAUGGGCGAAAGUCUGAUGCAGCCAUGCCGCGUGUAUGAAGAAGGCCUUAGGGUUGUAAAGUACUUUCAGCGGGGAGGCGUUACCCGCAGAAGAAGCACCGGCUAACUCCGUGCCAGCAGCCGCGGUAAUAC
rnacentral:rRNA from 1 species